rnacentral:lncRNA from 1 species
CUUGCGGAGACUGGGCGCAGGGCGUGGGGGUCAGUGAGGGCGCGGUGGGUCAGCCCCAGCCCGGCUGGCAGUCGCGGGGCUGGGAAGGUAGGGAACCCUCCGCUCUCACCCCACUUCCUGUUUGGUCGGUGUGUUCUGUGACCAUAGAUGGUCAAGUCUGGGGCCGCGCGGAAGCCUCCGCCCUGUGGUUUUGGAGCCCUUCCUCCCGGCGCGCAGGGUGUGGUCCCCGAGAAUAAGAUGAGCAGAAUUAAAGCAGAUCCUGCACCCACUCUGCUGAAAUCCGGCUUCUGAGGCAGCCUCGCCCAGGGCUGGGUGGGCUCAGGCGGCUGCUACUCGGUUCAGGGGAGGUUACGCACGGUGGCUGCCGCGCGCAGGGGAGGCUUCGCUUCCGUACUCCUUGGGCCGGGAGAUCCGAUCUUUGUUCCCUCAAGACUCACACUCUCCAACCGGUCAUUAUCCUCCCACAAAGAUUUAUUUCUAGAAAAAAUUGGCAAGUGCCACAGUUCCCGCCCCUUCAGCUGAACGACUGUGACAGCUCCGUGUUUCAAGUUGAAUGCAGGCGUUAUGUGCCAGAGUCAAUCAUUCAACAAAUAAAGUUCUUAAAAUAACAGCUACCAUUUACUGCACGCUGACUACUUGCCAGGCCCAUGCUGAGUUCUUCAAGCGUAUUUUCAUUUACUCCUAAUAGCAACUCUCGGUGAGACAGAAGGAACAUAGACCAUACACGCAUUCUAGAGGAAGAGGAGAGAGAAGAGGAAGCAGGAAGGAGAAUGAAGAAAGUUUCCUCAUCAGCUUUUUCCUCCUCGCUGAUCUUGCCCCUUGUCCAGUACCCAGUGCUUCAUCCAUGGGUUUCAGACACAGAAGUCUGGCGGUUCAUCUGGAGCCUUUCCCAGCCUGACUCAGAGGACUGCCUGCAUCUGUGCAACCUGGCUCAGAGCCUGUCUACGUUUGGGCAGAGCCUAUAUCCCCCUGCCAAACGGGCUAAUGACAGACAACAGUCUAUGUGACCCUAUCUUUCUUCCCCUCCAAGGGUAUGGCCCCAGAUUUCAGCCUCAGAUAGGGGAUCAGGCCCAAAAAUUAGGAGUUGGCAAAAGAAAUAGCCGCAAUAUAGAAAUAUGAUUAAGAUCUGGCUUUGGGGUCACUCUGAAACUGAAUCCCAACUCUGCCAACUGUGUGAUCUUGGAGUUAUCCUCAUUUAACCUCAGAGGAUAUAUUAAUAGCCGUCUUAAAUGGUUGAUAGGAAUUAGGACAGAAAACUAAUAAAACACUUGGCUCACAGUAAACACUCAAUGAGUAGUAACAAUUAUUAUUAAGUAUAGAGAAUCUCUUGUCUGUUUCCCUGGCAAAGGCCAUCAGAAAGCAAAAUAAGGUCUAAAGUGUCAACAUACUGGAUGGUGCCACCAGAACUACUACUACUGUCCCCAUCCCCAGAAAG